UCCCUGCAAGUAAAUCACCAAAAGAGGACACAUAUCACAUUAGAUCAAGUCAUCAAGAAUUUCACAAAUUGGGCAAGAAGGCUUUGUAUCUCAACUCAAAAAGAGAGGUGAGUUGUUAGCUCAAAAUAGAAAUUGGAGCUCUCCUAUGCCUUACCCCAAUGUAGACAUAGAAGCUUUUAGCUUAAAAUUCAAAAGUGAAGGAAUCUUUAUCCCAAAUUAGCCACAAAAUGCCAAGGAAUUUAGCUAUAAAUACCAGCCCACCACCACCACCUCUGUCACGACCACAUCUUACUAGUGAUAGUGAGCGUGGCUAUAUCGUGACUAAACCUAUUACAAAAUUACUAGUGCAGCGGAAGAGACCAAAACAAAGAAGUAUGUGUGAAGACACACUUCUUUGGACAUCCUAGUGCUACUUAUUAUUGUCGUUGCUCAACACCUUCGUCCCCAGUUCACGUUCAACCUGCACGUUAAGAAAAGACAUGCAUGACUGAGUAUUUGGUAUACUCAAUGGGCACAUUGCCGAAAAUAAUUUUCGUAAAAAGUUUUUAUCAGCCACAGUUGAGUGAACAUGGGGUUUUAACUUAAAAGGUCCGAGUCACUAAAAUUUCUUAUAUUCAUAAAAUUGAUUGCGCAAUCAUAUAACAUAGAUACCAUAUCUGAAACGUAUGUGAACCGGGAAUGUGGCCACAUUCCACGACGGUCACUGGACCGGCCAACUUGAAAGCUAACUCAUGAUCCCCAUAAGAGUGCACUAGUCCGAGUAGGGUUUGCGGCCCUACUGGGACCCGAAUUCGAUUAAACAUAAUUGGCAUAGCCAAGCAUAUUCCAUAAAACAAAACAUGGCAUGACAAAAACAUAGAUAUUAAAAUUUUCACAUAAUCAUGCUAAAAAGGCAGUUCACAUUUUAGAAAGAAAUGCCCACCUCAGAAGCUUAAUUCCUUAGUCGAAAAUUCUUGACUUGGUCUUACUCGACGUGCGAAGACGUCCCUUUAGAAAUAAUGUAAUACUUUAAUUAGACUUCAGGAAGUCAAAUAAACUUAAACGUGAAUGCAUCCUAAGUGUGUGCUCAUCUUAUUAUUUCUCUUAUUUUUCUAGAAAGGUCCUUGAGCAUUAAUUAAAUUGGGAGAUUUAAUUUAAUGUGAAAGUUUAGGAAGUUUCUCGCUUAAUUUAAAAAAAUAUUAAACUUCAUAUAUUCAUUAUUCAUGGAAUUAGAUAAGAGUCCAAAAUUAAUCCAUUGCCUCAGAAAUACUUAACAGGCAUGUACUAAUAUUUAUUUAGUCUUAACUAAUUCAAGUUCUUACACAGUAAAAAUCGACGGUCCCAACUAUUAUGUAAUUUACUCAAAUUGGCCCAAGUAAAAUUAAAUUCCAUUUAGCCCAACACUUUAAUUCAUUAGACCCAUUAGAUUUAAAACAUAAGCCCAAAACUAGAAGGAAAGAUCAGAGCCUACACGGACUCUCCAUUCUAUCGGCCUCUCUCUCCUCUCUCAUUCCCAAAUUCCCAAAUUGAGGGAAAAUCCCUAAAUUGAUAAAUGGUGAAGCAGCGCCUCCUUCUCUCUCACGCCACACCCCCUCGACGACUGCUCCGUCGUUUUCCCCGGCGGCGGUAUCAUCCAUCAAUCGGUCAACUACUUCCCCGUUUCACAUUUUCCCCAAAAUAGAGAAAUCCCUAGAUUGAAGGAAGACACAGAGGCGCCCAACCUUCGCCAUCCGCCGAUCACCGCUCUCCGGUCGGCCUCUUCCUCGCGCCACCGCCGUCGCUGGUGUUGCGCCGUGUGAGAAGGAGAGGAGGCAUCGCCUCUCUCUCUGCACACGGCUCCACUCCGCCAGCACCGUCCGGCUUUCCGUCGAGCUGUGGUUCUGCCCGUCGCUAUCUCCGCCGGCGUGCUUGCUGCCGACACCGCUCGUGAGCCACGCCGCUUCGUCGGGCAGUAGCUAAGUGCUUAACCUCUGUUCCUAAGUCUUACUUUCCCUUUUAUUCUCUUAAGUUAAGGGGUGAGUUAGGAGGCAAUCGUACACUUAUAUGGGUUGGGUUUGCAUAUUAUGUGAAGUUAGCAUCCUUCUUUUGUACUCACUGUCGGUCGUCAAAAGAAUGCAGUGGAAAAAAUUGUUGUGAUGUUGAAGGAGUUCUAAGUUUCAUUUUUUUUUAAAAACAAAGAGCAUGCUUGUGCUUUGUUUUCUAUUGUUUCUGUGGUAGGUUUUCUAAGUGAUAUCCUUGUGCUUAAGCAUGAUUGUGUAGUGGUGUUCUACAUGGAAGAAAAUGAGUGACAAAGAGGGUUGUGUGUUUUACCUGCUUUGGGGAAGAAAACUGAAUGAGAAACUGAGGUGCUCUUGCUUGCUUAGUCCACUCACUCUCUCUCGAUUUCGGACUGCAAUGUUGAGGUAAAGGAGUGGUCUUGGGUGGAGGCACACAUAUAUAUAGGUUUUUUUUUGUAACUAAGAAUCUGCAGAGCAGAUUUUGUGCAGGAAUGUAUCUGCUAUUUGAGCUGUGUGUUGGCUAUUCAAUUGGGAGUAAUACAAGGGUGUGCUCGUGGAAUUAAAUAUGAUGCUAUCUCAGUUUGUUCUCAUAUGUAGCACAUCUUCCUUUUGAUGAUUCUGCAGCACUUUAAACUUAAACCAGUUUGGUGUUUAGCUUGGGAUUAAAGGAUUCCUCAUUACUCAUUUUGUUUGAUUGCGCAGGUAGAUGCACAAGAGGAAGCAAGCUGCUGGAAGUGAGAGGGGAGAUGCAGGGCUGACCUGCCCCUUUUUGGGAGGCUCUAGGUCCUCUUUUAGUAAAGCAAGGAAGUUGGAAAGAAGUGGUUUUGUAGUAGGCUGCUCGAGAUAUGGGCUGGCUGUCUUCAGUCCACGGCUGAGUUUAACAGGCCGCGAAGAGGGCGGUUCGCGCUUGAGACAAGAAAGCCCGAGAAGAAACUUUGUAAAUCUAUUCUUUUCUCUAAGUUCAAAGUAUUCAUUUAUGUAAGCUAAGAAUUAGCUUUGCCGUGUAACUAGAUCCUAAUUUGAGACGAGGACCUCAUAUUAUUUAUGUACUAUAUUUCGUUUAUCAAAGCCACAAACAUAAAUUCAUUUCUUUAAA